rnacentral:tRNA from 1 species
GCCGUCCGCGCCGCGUUUGCGGCCGCCGGUGCGCAACCGGUCGGCGGAGCGCCACGCGUCGUCCAGCGCGUGCGUGAUCGUGCGGGCGUCGC